ensembl:lncRNA
CUUCAUUGCUGUGCGUGGGCUUUCUCUAGUUGCAUCAAGUGGGGGCUGUUCUUUGUGGUGCGUGGGCUUCUCAUUGUGGUGGCUUGUCUUAUUGCAGGCUCUAGACCAUGCAGGUUCUGUUGUUGUGACUCGCAGUCAGUACUUGCAGCUCGAAGUUGUGGCACACAGGUUUAGUUGCCCCCCUGGCAUGUGAAAUCUUCCCGAAAGGGAUCCAGCCCACAUCCCCUGCAUUGGCAGGCAGAUUCUUAACCACUGAACCACCAGGGAAGUCUGGGUAAAUGUUAUUAAUACACACAUUCUAGAAAUUUAUAUGGAACUUCUAAAAUUCUGGUAUAUCCUGGAAAUGGUAUAAGUCAUUAAUUAUCUUGAAUUGUUUGUCAUGGCAGUAAUCAAGUUUCUGUUCAAUUACAUUGUAAUCUCCAUUGGUUGGUGCCAAAGCAAAAAGGGCAUCCUUUUAAUAGAUCAAUUGCUAGCUUUGGUUUUACAGUAGCUUUCAAAUGACUAUAGCUAUUUUGUGAAGAAACAGGGAAGAAUGGUGAAAUCCUUUAUGUGCAAGCAUUUAUACAAUUAUCAGAGAAAAGAAGGGAAUGAAAAUGAUGAUCUGUUGCUUCAGACCUUAACUUCUCUGGCUGUUAAGCCAAUAUAUCCACCCCUUCUCUCAGUUCUGCUCCUAUCCAGUUCCAGUUCCUGACACAGAGGAGUAGGACUUCCCCUCCUUAUAGAGGUCAAUUAGAAAAUUCUGUGUUAGUUUCUGAGUCACUGGGACUUGGUCUGAUAUCGCCAUCUAAGACCCGACAGGGCACCCAAUUUGGGCCAAGAGCCACUUUCCAGACCUGGCAAUUUCCCUUGCACCAAUAUCUCUUAUGGGGCCUAAAAGCAAACAACUAGCCAGCUGGGUUUAUCUUUAGUUGGAAAUACUGCAACCCUCCUUAUACGUAUCUUCUACACCUGAAGCCCACUUGGCAGAACCCACAGCUGACCCAAAUUAGAACCCCAGUGAGGGAAGAAUGCCCUUAUUCAAGCAUUACUUAUUAGUGCAUCUUGGCAGGGCUCUGAAAACAAAAACCAGAGCAAGAGUUUAAACAAAAUUCAAGAAAUUCUGCAAAACAAAUGAAGACCUUUCUGAAUUUUUGGAAGGAACUUAUCAGGGCUACAGAUGUCAUACUGACGCAGGUCCCAAGGCCCCUGAAAAUGUUAGAGUGGGAAAUUUGACCUUUUUGGGCAAAAUGCCUCAGGUAUCAAGAACAAGUUGCAGAAAUUAGAUGGUACCUUUAGAAUGAACCCUUCUCAAUUGGUAGAUGUUGCUUUUAAAAGUAUUCAACAGAAAACAAUAGAAGAAAGAAGAAGCAAGAUGAAAUGCCAAGUUUUUGGCAGCGGCACUGGAUUCCCAGAGGCAAGGAACUGAAGAGUUCACAGGUGCUGAAGCCCACCUGAGAAUGACUGUAAGGAGGAAGAAAUUAGCACAUCCCUUCAGAGGCUAAUGGGAAACAGGAAGUGUUUGACUUUACUCUCUCCCCUUUUAGUGUAAAAGAAGCAUGAAUUUCAACUUGGGCAAGAUUAUUCUCUAGGGGCAUGAGUCCACAAUCUCCUUGGUUUGCUGAUUUUUCUAAUGAGUCACUGUUUCUUCCCCCACAGCUUUCCUCUCAAUUUAUUAGCCUGUAGUGCAGAGAGCAGUAAAAGCUUGGGCUCAUUAACAGUACUUCCAUAUUUCAGAUAUCUGCUUCCAAAAAGCAUAAAAGUUCUGAAGGUUUUGUCUUUAAGUGGAAGCCCUUUGAGAAACAUGAGGUGGUCUGCCAAAAUGAAAAAGCCAUUAUGGAAGUUAUGAUCAUUUAGGUGUCUGUCACCACUAACUAGGGCUUCCCAGGUGGCUCAGUGGUAAAGAAUCUGCCUGCCGAUGCAUGAGACAUGGGUUCUAUCCCUGGGUCAGAAAGAUCCCCUGGAGAAGGAAAUGGCAACUCACUCUCGGAAAUUCCAUGGACUAAGGAGCCUGUGGGCUACAGUCCAGGUGGUCUCAGUCAGGCACGGCUGAGUGACUGACCUUGCAUACACACCACUAAGCCCAGGCGUUUGUUUUACAUUUCAGAUCCCUGGAAAGGACAGGCUUGGAGUGGUGGUGAGGGUGUAGGUUGAAAGUUCAAAGGCUACUGAGGUUACAGUGAGUAGCAAAGCAGAGUACCUCCACUUCAAUUACAAAGUUCAAGAAGGCAAGAAACCCCCUGAAGACGGAAUUGAAACAGCAGAUGCCUCAGAGCUCUGACUGCUGACAAUGCUGAAAACAUGAAGAGACUCCGUUUUCUGUCUGGAUUGUUAUGGAGCAGACACUCUCGGUUUAUACCCUCCAGGGGAGAUGGAGAGAUGCUUUCUGUAAAUAAGAAUGAGUGACUUGAAGGUGAUCUGUUUAAAUAGUCAGCUUGGGUUGUCCUUACCUCUCAGGAAAACAAGCAGCCCCAUACAGCUGAAUGUCUUUUGGUGUUAUUAAGGAGAAUGACACCAGGGCUGUGAAGUUAGUCACUGACUUUACAUCUAUAUGUACCUGUUUUAUCUUGUUUUGCAAAUACUGUUUGGCUUCUUGUUUGUUGUUUGUUUUUUAAUAAAUCGAAGAUCUGUGGCAACCCUGCAUCAAGCCAGUAAUUUUUCUAGCAGCAUUUGCUUCCUUCCUGACUUUGUCACAUUUUGGUAAUUCUUGCACUAUUUCAAACCUUUUCAUUAUUUGUUAUGGUGAGCUGUGAUGUUACUAUUGUAACACCUAUCCACUGAUGUUACUACUAUAAUUGUUUGGGGGCACCACAAACUGUACCCAUGUCAGAUGACAAACUUAAUCAAUAAAUAUUUGUGUUCUGACUGCUCCACCAACAAGCCUUUCUCCAUCUCUCUCCCUUUACUAGGGCCUUCCUAUUCCCUGAGGCACAAUAAUACUGAGAUCAGGCCAAUUGUAACCCUUUAAUGGCAUCCAGGUGUUCAAGUGAAAGUCACACAUCUCUCACUUUAAGUCAAAAACUAAAAAUGAUUAAGUUUAAUGAUUAAGCUUAGUGAGGAAGGCAUGUCAAAUGCUGAGACAGGUCAAAAGCUGGGCCUCUUGCAC